CGCGAACAAGAAGCAGGAAGGAGAGGAAACCCUUCUCCUUCAUAAUACCUCAAGAAUUUCAGAAAUUAAAGGUGUUGUUGAUCCAAAAAUCGAAUGCAUGAGGCUAAUUCUUCACUAAUCUAAGCAUAUUGAACAUAAGGAGUCAUGUCAAUAGAGGCACAAAUAUGGAAGCGCUACGGGUCGAAGGUAAACACGGAAGCUAUGUGUAAAUUCGGACGCACGAGGUAAGUAAACUCCUGGACUCCAUCUUUAAUAGUAAUGGAAUUAAUUGUAUGAUAAUCGUUAAAGGUUACGUUGAAAUUUGUUAUUGAAGAAGAUAUCGAAUGAGUAGUAUUAAGUAAGUGAUUUCCGCAAUCACUUCUUAGUUGUUUACAUAGAGUUAUGUGCUAGUUAGUUAAGCAUAAUAAUUGAGAUAAAUAAUGGAUGGUUGUAUGAAACCAAUGAUUUUCGCUAAGUAGAUGUAACGGGUCAAAAAUAAGGUCUUGAUGUUAUAAUGGAAUGAAGAAUAAGAAAUGUCUACGGUAUGAUAACCGGGUAACGGGUAGGAUUGCGCAUAAGCACGUUAAUGGGUAAGUGGAAGUACGGAUAAUGUAAAAGUUUUAUGGCUAUAAUGUUCUUGUAAGUUUAAGGCUAAAUCGAAUGUGUUGUUUGAUAAAAACCAUGAGCGGGUCGAAUAAUUCGUAGAUGUAACAAGCCGAAGACGUAUAAGUUAAGAAUUUCCUUAACCUGCAUGUUGGAUUUCAAGUUCACAUGAUAGAAUGUUAAUUUACAAUCAUGUAGGAAGAAACGUGACGCAAAACGGAUGAAAAAUGAGAGAGUUAUGUCUGUUUCGGUAAGAAUUAAUGGCUAGGAAAAGUGCAGAGCUGACACGGCCGGGUGGUGAGCUGACACGGCCGGGUGAAGGUUCUGUCAAAAAUAUUAUUUAUGUGAUUUAUGCAUCGUAAGCUUCGGUAUAUUAUCCGUGGACUACGGUGGGCCUCCCAAACAUGAUUUCGAGUGUUCCCUUGACGAUUAUAAGUUGUAAACCCAAGUCUAAGCCUCAUGUAAUUUGUAUAAGAGUAUGAUAGAUGUAUGUAAUGAAGUUGGACAUGUAUUACAUGUAAAUGGUAUACAAGAAUGCGUACGGAACACGUAGGCAUGAAUACAUGAUUGUAGGUAUGAUUGAAUGUAUAUAGGUAUGUAGAUGUGUAUGAUUGUAGGUAUGUAUGUGUGCAAGUAUGUGCGAAUGCAUGAUUUGGAUGCAUUUGAGAAUUAACGUUACUAACAUUGCCCUUGAGUUUGGGAUGUAAUGCAGGAAUGAGAAUGUCGGAUUCUUAAGAAGUUGAAGCCGAACUCGGAACAAGAGACUUAGAGAGAAUAGUCGAAUGAAUCGAAGCUAUAUUGUCGAAUAUUAUAUGAAAGUUAAUUGUGUGAGAAUAGUGUUGUAUGAGGUUGUCAAUGACUAAUGAUUAAGUUGUAUGUGAUGUUCACAGGUACCAUACGGAUUUCUUCUUCUACUAACGAAGAUGAGCGGAUGAAGAUCGAGUCAAGAGCAAGGAUUGUACGGGAAGGAUCGGUCACAUAGUUUAACAAAUGUAGGUCCGAAGUAUUAAUAUAAUGGAACGUGGUAAAUCCUUUUUAAUGAGUGUUUGACAUUUGGUAUUCAAACUUUCCUGUAAGUACUAUGUCUAUUAAAGAACGAAAUUUUGGGUUCAUAUUUUCCGCUAUGUUGUAUUUUUAAGUGAUUACAAGUUAGUCUUACAGGGAAUUGUUCAUAAUACGAACGGGUCAAGCCCGAUUUUUGUUAAAUUAUAGCAUGAUAAUAUUACUUUCGGAUUAGGAAUUUUGGGCGUUACAAGUUGGUAUCAGAGCCAUGGUUUGAGGGAUAUCAAGUAUGUGGAGGUAAAUACUUGAACUCAAACCAGAGUGCUCUUAUGACAAGGGACCCGUACAAUCCAAGACUCGAUCAAAAUUUAAAGGUAGAAGCUAAUGUAAGUGUGUAUUUAAGCAUGUAUAUUAAGAAAAAACUAACAGUAUGUUAUGUGAAGGAUAAGCAUAGUUGUUGGAGAGGAUGAUCCGCGAGUACAGUCUUGGACCGACACCAAGGCACGUAGAGCAAAUGCGUAGGAUGAUCGUGACACGCUAGGGUGGACUUGGGCCUUAGUGACUAUAAAAUGAAGCUAGACAUAGUUUAAAUUUCGUCAUGUGCUCUUUAUUUCGGUAGUUUUUAAGAUAAUGUAGCUUGUUGGUUCUUGUUUGAACAAUGAAUUCCACCCUCGGGUGAUGAAUAAGAUAAUAUU
rnacentral:lncRNA from 1 species